UCAUGAUCGGUCGGAAAAUUUCUGUACAUAAUGCCACACCCUACUACGCAGUACGUAAGGAGGUACCAGUCACUAGUCAUGUGGUGACUAGUGACUGGAAGAUAUGUGGAGUAGAGAAUACUGUACACAUCUCUAUCCUGGAUUUAGUAAUACAGUAUCUAGUCCAAAUUGUAAAAAGGGAAGAAAAUGAAUGUGGUGGUACGAGCUGUUUAAAUGGACCUAGGAAGAGGAAUGUCUUUAAAUUUCGCGGCAACAAAUAAUUUUAUCAUAAAAAUUGACAAAGCCUUGAGAUUAUAAGAGGAGUAUGAGUUUGCUCCACAGCACAUGCCAAUUUGGUCUACAACAGAAAGUUGAGUAUAAAAAUUUGUCAGACGUGCAGAUUUGACAGGACAAGGAAAGAAAUCACUCUUGAGCAGAACAACGAUGGCAGUUGGAAAAAGAACUCCACUUUCAAUGAUUCUAAAAAUCAAGAUUUUCUUUUGUGUUAAACCAGCAAGAUUUGGUGAGACUUACCAACGUUUCGUGGAAUUAGCCAUCCACAUUCUCAAGUGACGUAUCUGCAUUUUUGAUGAUUACAAAAUAUUGUUCUGUAUAGAGUGUAUUCUUAGUCAAACCAUGUUUGUUCCUGCAAUAAAAAGUUCUAUUCACAUCGACUAUUGGCACAGGAAUCCAAUACAUUUUACAACGUUUUUCAUACUGUAGUGUACAAUUUUCAUUUUUUUGUAGGCCUACACGUGAAAAAUGCAAUUUGGGGAUUGUCAUCCCAAAACCAGGGUACUGUUUUUGGUAUAAGAAUGUGGCAGUAUUGUAUACCUUAGUACAGAGAAGCCGUAAUACUUUUACUUAAUAUACCGUAACUUUGGCAAUAGUCAGUCCAUUCUAGUAAAUGCCCUAUCAUGGAAGCUUAUAAUGUAUGGCAAACCCAUCGGUAUUCGAUCACAAUAUCACAUUAAAAUAUGCCAUAAGCUAUUAUAGAAAUUAAACAUGAUAACCCCACGGUAUGAAUUUCUAUUACCUGUGGGCUUAAUCCUUUUGUGCAAUUAAACACUCUAAAGCCUGGUUUCUAUAAAAUUGCUAAAGUAUUCUCAGUGCAAUCGUUACAACGAGUAGCUAUUCCCGACAAAAUCGGAGAGCCUCCCCGACACGACCGACCAAUUAUUAUGGAACUCUCUUCCACCUAAUCUUGAUCAACUUCUGAUACUAAUGCAUUCAAGACCCUCCUUAAAACCUAUCUCUUUAAUCAAUAACUCUUUUAUCAAAUAAUUUUUUCUAACAGGCGCUAUACAAAUACUCCAAUUAUUUAUUAUUUAUUAAUUAAGCCUGGUUUAUAUAAAAAUCGCUACACAGUCGCUACAGAGUUUUCUGAGCUGUCCCCGACGAAAUCGAGAAUGCUCCCUGAUUCAACUGACCAAUCAGCGUCGCCAAGUCGGCUGUAGGAUGUUGAGCAAUUUUAUGGAAACUCAGCUUAAACCAAGCUUGAGCGCCGUCGAAAGCUGUCGGCGAUAGUGUGUAGCGAUUUUAUAGAAACCAAGAUCUGUAAAACGUUUAAACGCAAGUGCGGGAUAAAUUUCUCAAUCUAUAUGUGGCAAAGACAAGCCAAACCAGUCACUCGUCGCAAAUCGUGUUUCAGAGAAAAUGGCCAAAACAUGCUGGAAUGUCAAAUUUUUUAAAAUCUAUUUUAUUGCAUUA
rnacentral:lncRNA from 1 species